rnacentral:rRNA from 1 species
AGAAUCAACGCUGGCGGCGUGCCUAACACAUGCAAGUCGAACGAGAAAGUGGAGCAAUCCAUGAGUAAAGUGGCGACCGGGUGAGUAACACGUGACUAACCUACCUUCAAGUGGGGGAUAACCUCGGGAAACCGGGGCUAAUACCGCAUAAUAUCUCUGGAGCGGAAGAACUGGAGAUCAAAGGAGCAAUUCGCUGGAAGAGGGGGUCGCGGCUGAUUAGUUAGUUGGCGGGGUAAUGGCCCACCAAGACAGAGAUCGGUAGCCGGCCUGAGAGGGCGCACGGCCACACUGGAACUGAAACACGGUCCAGACUCCUACGGGAGGCAGCAGUGGGGAAUUUUGCGCAAUGGGGGAAACCCUGACGCAGCAACGCCGCGUGGAGGAUGAAGUCCCUUGGGACGUAAACUCCUUUCGACCGGGACGAUAAUGACGGUACCGGUGGAAGAAGCCCCGGCUAACUUCGUGCCAGCAGCCGC